AAAGCGUCAUACGGCGAAGGCGUAGCGAGCCACGCCGGCCCCGAGUCAUGCGUAGGCGCUCGUAAGGGCGGCCGCGAAGCGUUGACAG
rfam:Candidatus Rokubacteria bacterium 13_1_20CM_2_70_7 13_1_20cm_2_scaffold_725, whole genome shotgun sequence.